GUCGAGCGAGGGAUUAUUGUAGAAGCUUGCUUCUAGACAUAAUCCUAGCGGCGGACGGGUGAGUAACACGUAGGCAACCUGCCCACAAGACAGGGAUAACUACCGGAAACGGUAGCUAAUACCCGAUACAUCCUUUUCCUGCAUGGGAGAAGGAGGAAAGGCGGAGCAAUCUGUCACUUGUGGAUGGGCCUGCGGCGCAUUAGCUAGUUGGUGGGGUAAUGGCCUACCAAGGCGACGAUGCGUAGCCGACCUGAGAGGGUGAUCGGCCACACUGGGACUGAGACACGGCCCAGACUCCUACGGGAGGCAGCAGUAGGGAAUCUUCCGCAAUGGGCGAAAGCCUGACGGAGCAACGCCGCGUGAGUGAUGAAGGUUUUCGGAUCGUAAAGCUCUGUUGCCAGGGAAGAACGUCUUGUAGAGUAACUGCUACAAGAGUGACGGUACCUGAGAAGAAAGCCCCGGCUAACUACGUGCCAGCAGCCGCGGUAAUACGUAGGGGGCAAGCGUUGUCCGGAAUUAUUGGGCGUAAAGCGCGCGCAGGCGGCUCUUUAAGUCUGGUGUUUAAUCCCGAGGCUCAACUUCGGGUCGCACUGGAAACUGGAGAGCUUGAGUGCAGACAGGAGAGUGAAAUUCCACGUGUAGCGGUGAAAUGCG
rnacentral:rRNA from 1 species